GAGAAACUGCGAAAGGCUCAUUAAAUCACACCUAAUGUACUCGAUAGUUACUCCCUACUUGGAUAACUGCGGUAAUUCUGGAGCUAAUACAUGCGUACCAGCCCCGACUCACGGAGGGGUGCUUUUAUUAGACUAAAACCAAACGGCUCGCUUCGGCGUGCCGUUCCCAUGGUGACUCUGGAUAACUUUGAGCGGAUCGCACGGCUUCACGCCGGCGACGUGUCGUUCCAAGGUGUGACCUAUCAACUGUCGACUGUGGCAUAGACGCCCACAGUGGUUGUGACGGGUAACGGGGAAUUAGGGUUCGAUUCCGGAGAGGGAGCCUGAGAAACGGCUACCACUUCUAAGGAAGGCAGCAGGCACGCAAAUUACCCACUGGUCAAAGACCGAGGUAGUGACGAAAAAUAACGAUACCAGACUCAUCCGAGGCCUGGUAAUCGGAAUGAGCACACUUUAAAUCCUUUAGCGAGGAACCAUUGGAGGGCAAGUCUGGUGCCAGCAGCCGCGGUAAUUCCAGCUCCAAUAGUUUAUAUUAAAGUUGUUGCGGUUAAAAAGCUCGUAGUUGGCUCUUGGCGGGCAGGGGGCGGUGCACCGUCUCGGUGCCCACUGCCCCGUUUGCCCGUUGAUCUCUCGUCGGCGGAAUCGCCCGGGGUGCUCUUCGCCGAGUGUCCCGGCUCGCGGCCGCCAGGUUUACUUUGAAAAAAUUAGAGUGCUCCAAGCAGGCUCGACACGCCUGAAUAGUUCGUGCAUGGAAUAAUGGAAUAGGAUGUCGUUCCUAUUUUGUUGGUCUUAGGGAUUCGACAUAAUGACUAAUAGGGACAGCCGGGGGCAUUAGUAUUCAGACGACAGAGGUGAAAUUCUUGGACCGUCUGAAGACUAACUACUGCGAGA
rnacentral:rRNA from 1 species